UACGUAGGGGGCAAGCGUUGUCCGGAAUCAUUGGGCGUAAAGAGCGUGUAGGCGGUCCGGUCAGUCGGUUGUGAAAGUCAAGGGCUCAACCCUUGAAUGCCGGCCGAUACUGCCGGGCUAGAGUCCGGAAGAGGUGAGUGGAAUUGCGAGUGUAGAGGUGAAAUUCGUAGAUAUUCGCAAGAACACCAGUGGCGAAGGCGGCUCACUGGCCCGGAACUGACGCUGAGACGCGAAAGCGUGGGGAGCA
rnacentral:rRNA from 1 species